rnacentral:rRNA from 1 species
UGACGUUGAAAAGUCUUUGGAUGACUUGUGGUAAGGGGUGAAAGGCCAACCAAAUUCGUAGAUAGCUGGUUUUCCGCGAAAACUAUUUAGGUAGUGCGUUGAAUAAAUAGACAUUUAGAGGUAGAGCACUAAAUGGGCUAGGGGGAAGAGAUUCUUACCAAACCUAAUAAAACUCCGAAUGCUAAAUGUUGUUCUUCAGCAGACAGACUGUGGGUGCUAAGGUCCAUGGUCGAGAGGGAAAGAGCCCAGACCACCAGAUAAGGUCCCCAAAUUAUGAUUAAGUGUGAAAGGAUGUGGAAAUUCCUUAACAGCCGGGAGGUUGGCUUAGAAGCAGCCAUCCUUUAAAGAUAGCGUAACAGCUCACCGGUCUAAUAGAGUUUCUGCGCCGAAGAUGUAACGGGGCUAAAAUCAUAUACCGAAUCUGUGGAUUUGUAAUUUUUUCGAAAAUUACAACUGGUAGCGGAACGUUCUGUAAGCCUGUGAAGGGAUAUCCGUGAGGAAUCCUGGAGGUAUCAGAAGUGCGAAUGCUGACAUAAGUAACGAUAAAAGAAGUGAAAAACUUCUUCGCCGAAAAUCCAAGGGUUUCUGCGCAAGGUUAAUCCGCGCAGAGUUAGUCGGCACCUAAGGCGAGGGCGAAAGCCGUAGUCGAUGGAAAUAAGGUUAAUAUUCCUUAACCAGAUGGUAGUGACGGAUCUUGUAAGUUGUGAGUUCUUAAUGGAUUGAGCUUGCCGCGAAAAGGUUCCAAGAAAUAGCUCCAUCAUUAGACCGUACCCUAAACCGACACAGGUGGAUUAAUAGAGUAUAUUUAGGCGCUUGAGAGAAUGAUGUUGAAGGAACUCGGCAAAAUACUUCCGUAACUUCGGGAUAAGGAAGACCUUCUUGUAGGCAACUAUAUGAGGGUGGCACAAGCCAGGGAGAAGCGACUGUUUAUCAAAAACACAGGGCUCUGCUAACACGUAAGUGGAUGUAUAGGGUCUGACGCCUGCCCGGUGCUGGAAGGUUAAUGCGGUUGGUGCAAGCUAACUUCUGAAGCCCCAGUAAACGGCGGCCGUAACUAUAACGGUCCUAAGGUAGCGAAAUUCCUUGUCGGGUAAGUUCCGACCUGCAUGAAUGGCGUAACGAUUUCUCCGCUGUCUCCAACAUCAACUCAGUGAAAUUGAAUUCUCCGUGAAGAUGCGGAGUUCGCGUAGUUAGACGGAAAGACCCCGUGCA